UACGGAGGAUGCGAGCGUUAUCCGGAUUUAUUGGGUUUAAAGGGUGCGCAGGCGGGCUGCUAAGUCAGCGGUGAAAUCCGGUCGCUUAACGAUCGAACUGCCGUUGAAACUGGUAGCCUUGAGUAUAGAUGAAGUAGGCGGAAUUCGUUGUGUAGCGGUGACAUGCAUAGAUAUAACGAGGAACUCCGAUUGCGUAGGCAGCUUACUAAACUAUAACUGACGCUCAAGCACGAAAGCGUGGGGAUCAAACAGGAUUAGAUACCCCCGUAGUCC
rnacentral:rRNA from 1 species